rnacentral:misc_RNA from 1 species
UUUCCGUAGGUGAACCUGCGGAAGGAUCAUUAAAAAUUACCGCGCGCCCCAGUGGCCGUGGACAACCGUGGGGUCCGCCUGCCGGUGUAACAGCCGACGGUGGGGACCUCCAUCCUCUCUUGUGAAACACCUCUUUGCCUUGGUGGCCGCAGUCUGCCUCACCGCCGACCGCGUAAGUCCGCCAGCUAAAUCCUUCAGAAACCUUUAGUCUGAACAAAAUUCAUAAAGAAUUAAAACUUUCAACAACGGAUCUCUUGGUUCCCGCAUCGAUGAAGAACGCAGC